UCAUGUUUCCUCUUGUUGCUGCUACGAACACAGUUCAUUAAACUCUUCAGAAAGACGUAUACUUAACUCUACCCUGAUCUAAUAGUAAGAGGAACACACACACACACACCUAACUUUGCUUCAACACAGUUCUAACUUCUAAGUUCAUUUCUUAUCUAUCAGUAUAUACCAAUCUAAACUAAAAAUCUGAUAUAAACUACUUUUCUG